UACAGAGGUCCCGAGCGUUGUUCGGAUUCACUGGGCGUAAAGGGUGCGUAGGUGGCGUGGUAAGUUUGAUGUGAAAGCUCAGGGCUUAACCCUGAAAUGGCAUUGAAUACUACUGUGCUGGAGGUUUGGAGGGGGGACUGGAAUUCUUGGUGUAGCAGUGAAAUGCGUAGAUAUCAAGAGGAACACCAGUGGCGAAGGCGAGUCCCUGGACAACACCUGACACUGAGGCACGAAAGCUAGGGGAGCAAGCAGG
rnacentral:rRNA from 1 species